UACGUAGGGGGCAAGCGUUGUCCGGAUUUAUUGGGCGUAAAGAGCGUGUAGGCGGCCAGGUAGGUCCGUUGUGAAAACUCGAGGCUCAACCUCGAGACGCCGAUGGAAACCAUCUGGCUAGAGUCCGGAAGAGGAGAGUGGAAUUCCUGGUGUAGCGGUGAAAUGACGCAGAUAUCAUUUGGAACGCCAAUGGUGAAAACAGGUAGCUGGGGAUGUGCUGACGCUGAGACACGAAAGCCAGGGGAGCGAACGGG
rnacentral:rRNA from 1 species